rnacentral:rRNA from 1 species
UACGGAGGAGUGCAACGUUGUUCGGAUUCACUGGGCGUAAAGGGUGCGUAGGCGGGUCUUUAAGUCAGGGGUGAAAUCCUGGAGCUCAACUCCAGAACCGCCUUUGAUACUGAGGAUCUUGAGUUCGGGAGAGGUGAGUGGAACUGCGAGUGUAGAGGUGAAAUUCGCAGAUAUUCGCAAGAACACCAGUGGCGAAGGCGGCUCACUGGCCCGAUACUGACGCUGAGGCACGAAAGCGUGGGGAGCAAACAGG